CGUUCAUCAUAAGCUCCGACACUACCAGCGGGAUGAUCGAGCGGCCGUUGAUGAUGAAUUUCUAGCUUUCAUGGGUGUCCAGCUCCAGCAUUGGCAGGACAGGUUGGGGACUUUAGCGGUGGUCGAUCAUGCGACUCCGAUCAUGGAUUAUAUGCGUUGGUAUCAUGGGAUCACACGCCGAUUGAUUGGCAACCUAGCUUUGCGUCCUGCAAGGGAUGUAGGAUACGCAACACUCGCGGGGCAGUACGAGGCGUUGGUAAGUUUAUCGCAUUUAGAUUUAUUUAAUUGUAUUAAUUAAUACGUUUUAAAAAUAACUAUUUUUUACUGUCGAACACAAAUGCAGCUGGUGGCCGUACAACGAUUAUGCAUAUUGGGGUUAGAGAAUAUGUCUUACCCCGGGGUUGUGGGGCUUGCGGCGGAGAUGGUACCGAUAUUCGAGGACAGCAUCCACCAGGUAGGAAAGUUUAGGCGCAAGGAUGAUGUUGUUCCAGAGGGUGAGUAUUAGGCAGCACGAGGAGGAGGACGUGGUGCUUCCAGAGGACGCGGUGCUGCUAGAAGACCUGGUGGUGAAGGACACCAUCUGGUAGAUAAGGUAGAUGAGACCACUCCCAUUCUAGAGGCCGUUCCCAUUCUAGUCCAUCCGCAGUCGUUCCAGGCUAGUGGCAGCUUAGUUGGAUAGUCACCUACGUUUAUGCCAACGCGCCUACUUGCGGAGAUAUCUGGGUCUUCAUCUCGGCCCGAGCCACAAUGCGUACAUGGAGGAGCGUGAUGAUAUCUAUUGGGCGGCGUUUCGCGCAUCAUUAGAUGAUGAGCGGCCAGUGAGAAAUUUAGACGAACCUAAGAUUCUUGACUUCGAUGACUUUUUAAUUCCGUGGGUCCACCAGAGCGACCCACUUAGGCGUCUUUUCAUGGGCUUGCCGAGCCAGAGGUGUCUUCUCAUGUGACUGUCGAGCCACAUGUAAGCUUUUUAUUAAAAUUAAUUUUAUUCAAUAUAAGGAUUCGGCGCCAAUGGGUCCACAAGAGCGACCCACUCAGGCUUUUUCUCAUAGGCCUGCCAAGCCAGAGGUGUCUUUCAUGAGACUGUCGAGCCAUAGGU